rnacentral:lncRNA from 1 species
CUUACUGUAUAUUGACGCAUAGGGCUGUAUCGCUAGCCUAGUAUAGCUUCCUUGUACGGACGAGGGAUGAUUCUCUGUGAUGGGGUGUAUGUUAACCAAGAGCACAGACUCUGCUUGGAAGCUGCCAUUGGGAACAAACAAAUAGGCUUCUCCCGAGACUAAUUCUACUUAGCUAGCUAGCUGGCUAUUGACUGACAACAGUUGUCAGUAGAGCAGCAACAUGGCUGAUCCUCUCAAUCAAUGACAGCCUCACAGCAGCCAAACAUUGCAACAUAAGCGAGCGAGGUUCAAAUAACUAGCGAGCAUUUGCAAAGAAAGUUAAUAUCAGAAACAGCGAACAUAGGAAAUAACAGCUAGUUACAGCAGCACAGCAGCAAGAGACACCAGCACAUGCUAGCGAGUGACAUUCGGUAUUGAAAAAUAACGUCAAGAACUGGUCAAUUUAAAUAGACUGCAUGUAAUUAGUGUGUGAAUCCAAUUUGUGCAAUAUCCUCUGAUGCCACCACACUCGUGUUUCCCUUCUGAACUGGCCACGCUUUAUUUAAGUGUCCUCCAUUACUCUGAAGUGGGAUUGGUGUCUGGCCACUGCCUCAGCCUUCUGUAACAGCUCCUGAUGUGGUAGGAGGGUUCACACGACACUGCUGAACAACAAAUCCACCAGAUUUUAUGGAGAGGGAAUUAGAUCACUAGAAAGCAGCAUGCAGACAGACCAGGGCCCGUAUUUACAAAGCAUAUCAACAGUCGUUUCACCACAGGACCCUUGAGGUCACUGCAUGCUGUGACAGACCUGGAUGGUGACACACAUCUUCUUCAAGCUGCCUGACUGAAUACUGGGGCCUUCAGUAGUACCGGAAGCAAGUGCCUUACCUGGGAAUACAGCAACAAUCUCUGUCUCUCAGCCAUUCUGUCAACAUGUAUU